rnacentral:rRNA from 1 species
UCCGGAGGGUGCAAGCGUUAUCCGGAUUCACUGGGUUUAAAGGGUGCGUAGGUGGGCAGGUAAGUCAGUGGUGAAAUCUCCGGGCUUAACCCGGAAACUGCCGUUGAUACUAUUUGUCUUGAAUAUUGUGGAGGUAAGCGGAAUAUGUCAUGUAGCGGUGAAAUGCUUAGAUAUGACAUAGAACACCAAUUGCGAAGGCAGCUUACUACGCAAUGAUUGACACUGAGGCACGAAAGCGUGGGGAUCAAACAGG